rnacentral:rRNA from 1 species
GAUGAACGCUAGCUACAGGCUUAACACAUGCAAGUCGCGGGGCAGCAUGUCGGUUGCUUGCAACCGAUGAUGGCGACCGGCGCACGGGUGAGUAACGCGUAUCCAACCUGCCCUUCACCACGGAAUAAUCCAGUGAAAAUUGGUCUAAUACCGUAUGAGGUCAUACGAUGGCAUCAGAAUAUGACGAAAGGUUUGGCGGUGAAGGAUGGGGAUGCGUCUGAUUAGCUUGUUGGUGAGGUAACGGCUCACCAAGGCGACGAUCAGUAGGGGUUCUGAGNGGAAGGUCCCCCACAUUGGAACUGAGACACGGGUCCAAAACUCCUACGGGAGGCAGCAGUGAGGAAUAUUGGUCAAUGGGCGAGAGCCUGAACCAGCCAAGUAGCGUGCAGGAAGACGGCCCUAUGGGUUGUAAACUGCUUUUAUAAGGGAAUAAAGUGGGUCACGUGUGAC